GAUGAACGCUGGCGGCGUGCUUAACACAUGCAAGUCGAACGGAACAACUGCAAGGAGAGUCUUCGGAAAGGAAUUGCUUUUGUUUAGUGGCGGACGGGUGAGUAACGCGUGGGUAACCUGCCCUGUACAGGGGGAUAACAGCUGGAAACGGCUGUUAAUACCGCAUAAGCGCACGGAAUCGCAUGAUUUUGUGUGAAAAACUCCGGUGGUACAGGAUGGACCCGCGUCUGAUUAGCUGGUUGGCAGGGUAACGGCCUACCAAGGCGACGAUCAGUAGCCGGCCUGAGAGGGUGAACGGCCACAUUGGGACUGAGACACGGCCCAA
rnacentral:rRNA from 1 species